rnacentral:tRNA from 1 species
CACCGUGAUCGCCCAGUCCGGGCGCGCUUCUCCGGGUGGGGCGAUGGCUUGUCGGACGUGGGAAAUGCGCCGUUCAGAAUUAGUCACCGUGCC